CUUGGUUGGUCUGGAUGUCAUCAUGAAAGGGGUUUGUAGCAGUGUCUGAACCACUGGUCUGGAACCAUGGGUCUAAACUCUCUUAUGACGACUGGUUUUUUUUGUUUGUUUAAUGGAACACGAAUGCUCGCCUGUAUGUACAUGCAGUCUAUAUUUAUAUUAUAACCAACGCGAUUGAAUUAUGUAAAAAAUAGGUACGCUGAGCGUACAUGCGCCCGCUGUGACUACUGUCAGUCAUUGCCAGCUAGCUCUUGAUAACUAACACAAUCUCUUAUUUCUGUGAUUUAUACAUAUCAUCAUAAGAAGGAAAUUUCUGCCGUCCUGAAGGGGAGGGGGAAAUUGUUUUCGAUAGGGGGUUAACUUCCAAUUUCCACGGAGGAAAUUGGAAGUUAACCCCACUAUCCGAAAGGGGAUAGGAAGGUUAAUUUCCAAUUUCCUCUGUGGGGGAAGUACGGAUGUUUUCUGGAAUGACCCAAUGAGCAACAGCGUAACGGCGAAAAAUUCUUGAUUUUUCAAUCAAGUUGCUAAUCAAUCACGUACAGAAAAUUUAAUGUAGUAUAAUUUUAUUUACACUUUAUUUAAUUUAUUCAGCCUCCUUGUUAUACAGGGUGCCUCAAAAAAACGCCAUGGAAAUUCAACAGGCUGUUGUGCA